rnacentral:lncRNA from 1 species
UAGAAGUCAGGUCGGAUUAAGCCAUAGUACGGAAAAAACUAUGCUACCUGUGAGCCCCGUCCAAGGACGUUAAAAGAAGUCAGGCCAUCACAAAUGCCAUAGCUUGAGUAAACUAUGCUGCCUGUAGCUCCACCUGAGAAGGUGUAAAAAAUCUGGGAGGCCACAAACCAUGGAAGCUGUACGCAUGGCGUAGUGGACUAGCGGUUAGUGGAGACCCCUCCCUUAUAAAUCGCAGCAACAAUGGGGGCCCAAGGCGAGAUGAAGCUGUAAUCUCGCUGGAAGGACUAGAGGUUAGAGG